rnacentral:rRNA from 1 species
CCUACGGGUGGCAGCAGUGAGGAAUAUUGGUCAAUGGACGAGAGUCUGAACCAGCCAAGUAGCGUGAAGGAUGACUGCCCUAUGGGUUGUAAACUUCUUUUAUAUGGGAAUAAAACGUUCCACGUGUGGGAUUUUGUAUGUACCAUAUGAAUAAGGAUCGGCUAACUCCGUGCCAGCAGCCGCGGUAAUACGGAGGAUCCGAGCGUUAUCCGGAUUUAUUGGGUUUAAAGGGAGCGUAGGUGGGUUGUUAAGUCAGUUGUGAAAGUUUGCGGCUCAACCGUAAAAUUGCAGUUGAUACUGGCAGUCUUGAGUACAGUAGAGGUGGGCGGAAUUCGUGGUGUAGCGGUGAAAUGCUUAGAUAUCACGAAGAACUCCGAUUGCGAAGGCAGUUCACUGGACUGCAACUGACACUGAGGCUCGAAAGUGUGGGUAUCAAACAGGAUUAGAUACCCUAGUAGUC